AUUGAACGCUGGCGGCAGGCCUAACACAUGCAAGUCGAGCGGAUGAAGGGAGCUUGCUCCUGGAUUCAGCGGCGGACGGGUGAGUAAUGCCUAGGAAUCUGCCUGGUAGUGGGGGAUAACGUCCGGAAACGGGCGCUAAUACCGCAUACGUCCUGAGGGAGAAAGUGGGGGAUCUUCGGACCUCACGCUAUCAGAUGAGCCUAGGUCGGAUUAGCUAGUUGGUGGGGUAAAGGCCUACCAAGGCGACGAUCCGUAACUGGUCUGAGAGGAUGAUCAGUCACACUGGAACUGAGACACGGUCCAGACUCCUACGGGAGGCAGCAGUGGGGAAUAUUGGACAAUGGGCGAAAGCCUGAUCCAGCCAUGCCGCGUGUGAAGAAGGUCUUCGGAUUGUAAAGCACUUUAAGUUGGGAGGAAGGGCAGUAAGUUAAUACCUUGCUGUUUUGACGUUACCAACAGAAUAAGCACCGGCUAACUUUGUG
rnacentral:rRNA from 1 species